AAAAAAAAAAACAAACAAACCAAUAAAACACCUCCAAAAAGAACUAAAAAAGGGGAAAAAUAAAUGUGUAACUGGUGUAGAUUUGUCCAGGGAAAAUUGUGUUUAACUCAUUUAAUUUCCUGCUGAAACAGAGUUUCAGGCUUUGCAGAUAAAAGCAAGGCAUUGUUGACUUAUAUCUCAUCUUAGAAAGGCUUUUGCCAUACCUUGUGCAGAUUCUCAUAAGGAAAUUGGAGAGAAAUCAUAUUGGGAGAGUGAAAAAUAAGAUUGGGAAAACCUUCCAUUGAGCCAGACAUGAACGAACAAACCAAAGAAGGUAGGGAAAGUUUGUCAACAAGCAAAAUGUUUGGGGCUCCCUCCUCGUCCUUUCCUUUUCUCUUUUUGUUUUAUUUUUCUUUCUGUUUCCUCCAUCCCAUCUUGCAGGAGGUGAUGGCAGCUUCAGUUCUCUCCCAGCUCAGUGGCAGUGUACCAGCCCAGAGGUGCUGAAGAUAACUAUUACUUUCAAGAGCUGAAGGACGUGAGAGAGAUUUGAGUGCAAGUUAUGGCUACAUCUGACAGGUGUUGUCACCCUGAGGGGAUUAGCAAAAGACAUUUCAUUUUCACUUACCAACAUCAGCCUUACCCUACAGGGAAACAUGUGAGCCCACCUCAAAACCCACUGUUUAAUUGCUUUGAGUUAUCCAUGCAGUGUUGCCUUUCACCCUCAGUCUCUGAAGGUAUUCCUGCCUCACAGAUACAUUCUGGGUCUCAAAUGUUAUGUACAGCAGCAAAGUAGAAUGCCAGGGUGACCUGUUCUCUGGACAGAAGGGGCCAUGGGACUCUCUGGCUUCUUUUUUCCCCACUGCAGCUACCCCCACUGCUCUUGGCUGUGUUCAAAACACCCAGGCAGAGACACCUACCCAGUGCAUGGACAAGCUGGGAGGAGCACAGCACUGCCACCCCUCUGUACCUCAUGGGCCACCCAAGAACCCCUUGCCACCUCCCCUCCACCACAGCCUGGGAGCACAGGAUCUGAGGGCAUGUGCUGCUCUUUUUCACGUCAGGAUGGAGGGGAUGUUCGGCCCAUCUGAAAAUAUUUUCUUUUUACAAAUGUUCUGCUCUGGAAAUAGAUUUUUCCUCCUUAGAGACAGCCACCAGAACCAUAGCAGAGCAGGAACAACUGGUGGAAAAGUCAAACAGCCACCAUGUGUUUCCAGCAACGCCCUGCUGUGAUUUCUUUCUGCAGGACCCUAGGAAGCUGCAGUACCACCCUGACUCGAGCUGCAUUCAUGUUACUCCAUAGGAUACUGUUUGCACUUUUUCUGACAAAAUAUUUAGUAUUCCCAUUCUCCCAAGCCUCCUCACAGGAAACUUGGCAUAAAUUUGCUUCUUAUUCUCUGGAGAAGGCAUGAGCCACAUAACUAAAAUGCACUUCAUACUAUAAAAAAUAACAACAGAACCCCAAACCAAAACAAAAAAAAAUAACACAAAACUUGCCAAGGCAUAUUUAAAUCUGGCUUUAUUUUUCAUAUUUGCUAUUUUCUAGAAAGGAAAUAACACUUUUAAUGCUCUGGUUGCAGAUUGUUCUGGAGUGUGUGAGUCCAGGAGAUGCUCAGGGAACAGACUUCGUUGCAUGAACAUGUCAUGUGCAAGAACCCUCUAGAAUAAGUGAGACCAAGGACCCUCUACAAGUGGCUGGUGGACAAUCACAGAGGAAGUAGCCAAUGACUCCAAGUCUUCUGAAGGUAUUGUGCCUCCAGAAAAAUCUAUCAAAUGAGUACUAAAUGAAGAAGAACAAGAUAUCCACAGAAACACCAGGCAGAAACACCAUGUGACUCUGUCACCUCCACCCUCUGCAGGUCAUGGGAUUCAGUAAAUUUUCAAGGUUAGAGCUCUUCCUUUCUUUGCCAGGGGGGAAUCUCCUGCCAAGGGAAACAUGUGACUGUGGUUCAGGAUGACUUCUGUGGGAUUUAAUGUGCUUUAUCUUUCUCAUGAGCUCCGUAAAGCCCAAAUCAGUGAUUGUCUUGAGAAAACCAUCAGAAUUUGCAGUACUGCAUCAAAAAUGCCAAUUAAACAGUGUAGUGGGAAGGAAGAGAGAACAUGAUGGAGAAAAGGAAUAUUGAGAAGGAUGCAAGAUGAAAUGGAUUACCAUGCUGAAGGACUCCAGCAGUUCCAGCCAAAAUGUUACAUUUUACCCACUCUCAACAGGAUAUGCUACAGGGGAGGAAAUCCAGCUCUAAUGGCUGAUAGAUAUUUUCUAUGGUUUCAAAAGGUAUUUUGCCUCUGUUGGUCUGGAUUUUAUACAACAGCCUGUCUAAUGAAGUGGCUCUGCAGUCCUUUCCAACAGUUUUGAAGUACAGCAUGUGUUGAUUAUCUCAGUUGAAUGGAUCUGAGUUCAUUUAUAAGUUGCUUUGUUUUGCCUUUUUUUUUUUCACUCCUUUGUUCCUCCCUUCUCUGUCUAAAGCACACAAAUUGUUUGUAGAGGGAAAAACAUAUAAACAGUGUGAUUCAGUACAAUAAAGAACAGCUUGUUAAAAAUG